rnacentral:lncRNA from 1 species
AAUAGGUUGUGCCAUAGUACGUGAGUUUUUAUUUGGUCUUGACAAACCAAAAUCCGUUAGUUUUGGAACCAUUUUAUCACCUAGUAAUAUGUUUGCUGGUUUAAGGUCCAUAUGAAUAAUGUUUUUUUCAUUGUGAAGAUAACACAGACCCUGGCAGAUUCCCAUGAUGAUUUCAUAACGUGUUUCCCAAUCAAGUCCCCUUAAUUCAUCUGUAGAAGAAUAUAUACAUACAACCAAAGGAGUUAUGUUAAAUUACAUACCGAGCAAUGGUAGAUUUUUUUUAUUGAAGGUAAGGGAGUGUACAGAAGAGAUGCAUCGAAAUGUGAUAAGAUCGUACCACUAAUAUGCUGAUCAAGGCUUCCUUUGCUGAUAUACUCGAAACAGAACAAUUUUGCUUUUACGCUGGCCAAAUUAAUUUCUUCUGAUUGAGCCUCUUUUGUCGGUAUCUGAUAUGAAUUAGAACAGAAGCCAAGAAACCUGACUACAUUUUGAUGAUCAAUCUUUGUUAGGAUAUUAAACUCACGACGAAAUGGCUGGUCAUCAAUUGGGUUUACGAUCCUCUUCACAGCAACAAAUAUCCCGUUUGGGAGCACACCCUGUUAGCCAGUGUUUAAAUUAUGCUCCGCCUUACAAUACAAAUGUUUUGCUUCUACAGAUGGUACUUUAUAAUCGAAACUAGUUAUCAUUAUGUAUUGUACAAAUAGUACAUUGUACCUUGUAAACCUCUCCAAAUCCACCCUGACCAAUCUUUCUCUCUUCGGAGAAACCAUUGGUGAUUUUAUGUAACAGUGCCAAUGACAGAUUCGUCGGGUUCUCCUUUCCUUCAAGUAUAAGCUCCAGCACACGUGUGUCCUCCAUUCUAGGUACACGCUGUUAUUCAGAACAGUGGCUUAACAAAUUAGCUUGCCUGACCGACAGAUUUACAGAAAUUUGAAGCAAGGGAAUGCGUACCUGCUAGAGAUUUGGCCAUGUAUGCAGUCUAGCAAGCACAAACUGGAACUGCCUCAAGGCGAUCUAAGCACUGUUGGAAUAUGAUAUGGGUUUAAAGAUAGAGAUAAGGAGUAGAUAUUAAAUAGGUUUAAACUAUCUAUGUCUUGUCUUGUGCUCCAAGCCUCUACCCCUCAUGUGUCUUCCAUAUAUACCCCAUACAAGGGUCAGAUCAAUACAACGAUACAUAAAACAAUAUUCAUCCAUCCUAUACAAUUUCCAUAAGCACAUCAAACACGAUCCUUGUGCAAAUAUUCUACCAAGGAAAAUGGUAACUCUGAAAGAGAAAAGUUAUCAUGGAACAGGAGCAGAGCAUGGAAAAGAGAUCAGCACACCUACUAGUACUGAAGCCGUUGGUUGGUACUUGGCUUAUGCAAUAAAACAAACCUCUUAUGAAUUUCUUUCAGCUCCAAGUCUACACCUACCGCUACUGGUUAGCGCGUUCAUUAGGUAUUAGAUUAUUUCAACAAUAAUUGAUAUUUGGUCCCAUGACAUAUAUAUUUAAAUCUGACAGCAUCACCAAUUAUGUAACUCCGACAGCAUCAGCAUCAGCAACCAAGGUGCUGACCACGCCAAUUAUGUAACCGACUUAUUCAACCGUGAGGGAUGGCUUUGUAUUCAAAUCAAGGCUUCCGGUUUCUACUUGUCCAGUUCAACAUCACAACCUUUUAUUAACUCCUCCCCCUGUCCUCUCUACAUAUCAUAGCAAAAUGAGUAAAUGUACACUCUAGAAUAACAUAUGUAUGUCAUCCAUAGUGAAAUCUCUACAAAGACUUAUAUUUAGGAAUGAAAGAAGUAUAUACUACUCCCCUGCCGGUGUGGAUAAUAUUUCAAAUAUACCUUCAAUUUUCUUGCCAACGCAUCCAUGCUAUCCUAUCAUUUCAAGGUACCUUCCGCUGGCGAACCAACCUGUGAUAGGAUGGUUAGAGGGACUGUGGUAUCCCCAGCUCACCAGGGUUCAAAUCCGGGUGCUCGCGUUUAUUCCUGGAUUUAUUUCGGAGAUGCUCAUAGGGUAGGGUGUGGGUGUGUGUGUUCAUAGGGUGAGUGUAUGCGCGUGUAUAUUAGCGCUUGUGUCCGUACUGAUGUUAAAAAAAGGUACCUUCCGCCGUUCUUUUCUUUAUAUACCCCUCCAAAUUUUCAAUCAAAAUGAUUAACUCCAACUGCGGCAAAGGUGGCAAAGAAGAGUGAGAGACUGUAGGAAAAGGUGAUUUGGUUUUUUUGGAUUUACAGAUGCCGCCAGCGAAGGCUCCCAGCCACACGUUUCUUCGCCAUUAUUUUGGCAAUGAUAGAGGAUCUCUAAAGUCUAAACUCAAAAGGCAUGAUCCACUGUAGUAGUUCUUUUUUUUCAAAAGAAGGAUAACCCCCGUCCUUUGCAUCGAGCGAUGCACACAACCAUAUAUUAUUAAAACUGUAAAAUUCAGAUAUACUGUAGUAGUUAAUCAAUACAUUAAUAAUGCAUCGAUCGGCGAAGCCGCCGGCAAUCACGUUCUCUGAACUGAUUGAUGUGCGUGAUGCCACUUGGGCCUUCAGUUUUAUCUAUACUUUGUCACUAACAGCCAAGCCAUUAAACAGUUUCAUAGUGCUACUUGUCUUUUUUUUUUUGGAGAUAUAGUGCUACUUGUCUAUUAACUACGCUAGCUUAUGCAUCCCAAGUUGCCGACCUCAAGCUUCAAUAUUUCCCAAAAAAAUGACCUCAAGCUUCGAUUAUAGUAAAGUCAAUGUCAAGUACCAACCAAGCUUAUCGCAUCCCUUCAGAUUUUUGGCAUGUAAUUCUCCAUACAAUUCCCUAUGCAAUUGCCAGCUCCUUAAAAUUGCCUUCUCUACAAUUCACAUUGAUCAACCAUCUAAUGCAUUUUUUGUUCAUAUAAUCGACUUCUCCAUAAUAUUCUCCAUGCAAUUCUUGUUCUUGUAGCAACAAGAUAAACACCAGCCAUUUACACACUUCUAACAAAUUUCAACCAAUAGUACUCAUGUUCAAUCAACAAAUCAACAAAUUUCGUUCUCAGUUCAUACUUAAAAAGCAAUGAACGGUGUUCGCUUUACUUACCACGAGAGGAGGAGGCUACCGANNNNNNNNNNCAAGCCCUGCACCUAGCCACAGAACGAGCCGCCACGGUGCUUGGAAUCGCUGCGCCACCAAGCCAUCACCAGGAAAAACUAGGCCUCCACAAUGAAGGAGGGAGAGGCGCGCUAGGGGAGAGGCACCGCCGCCACCGGCACUGCCCGGGCUUUGCCUGGUAGUGGCCCUUGGCGGCGGCGAGGGGGGGGGGGAGGAUGGAGGAGGUGGUGUUCCACAAACAUAUUCCACUAAGGUUUACUCCUCUAUUUUUUAGGGGAUUCGUUAGAGUUGGCCUUACCUCGUCAGGGUUACCAUUCAUCCUCCCAGGUUCACUCAAAAUGUGGAUUAUUUCCGAUAUAGAAGGUCUAUGUCCUGGUUUUUCCUGCAUGCACUGUACUGCCAUGUCAAUGCAUCUAGUGACUUGAUGGUAUUGUACCGAUGUUGGUGGCUUAUUCCACCUGUGUCUCCAUCUUCGAAGUACCUACAUUUAAGAUAUGUUUAUUGAUUGUUAUAAUCCAAGAAUCUUGCCGUGCAAAUUAUGUCAAUGUCAUGGUAUUUGUAUCCAGCUGGCAAUUUUCUAGUUUAAGGCUACACGUUUGCCUCAUAGUGUGCAACUACAGAAGUGCAUCACUUCAACUCGCCACCAUAAAAAAACUAUCCACCCAUGUGCAAUAUAUCUACAAACAUGUUUAAAUUAGAUAUAUACUUCAGUAGGAUAGUGAACAUAUUCAAGUAAGAACAAAAGAUCCAUGCAGAACAUUGUCAUUGUUCUUAACAGUGAGCGAAAUUACACUUACAUUAUUUUUGUGAGGGACGCCCUUACACCCCUUUACUAAUUCUAUGAUUAUGGCACCCAAACUAUAUAUGUCAGCCUUGAAGGAAAUUUCCCCAUCUUUUUCGUAUUCUGGAGCGAUAUAUCCUCUGCAGGAAAAUGUGAUAGUAUGAUGCAUUAUGCCACAAAGUCAAUGUAUGUUUGUAUGAUAGAGAAAUGUCAUUUAACUAGUGGUUGUACCAACAUAUAGCUUACCGUGUUCCAAUAGGUUGUGCCAUAGUACGUGAGUUUUUAUUUGGUCUUGACAAACCAAAAUCCGUUAGUUUUGGAACCAUUUUAUCACCUAGUAAUAUGUUUGCUGGUUUAAGGUCCAUAUGAAUAAUGUUUUUUUCAUUGUGAAGAUAACACAGACCCUGGCAGAUUCCCAUGAUGAUUUCAUAACGUGUUUCCCAAUCAAGUCCCCUU